UAUACCCUCCCCCUUCAAUAAUAGGUGCCCUCCACAGCUGCGAGUGUGACUUCUUUUGGAGUGACACUCGGUAGUGGAGGGGGAGUGUGUAGGGGGCGAUUUGGGAUUCAGCCCAUGUGUUUUGGAUGGGAGCUGCAGCCACAGGUGUUUCCUAUCGACAAUCAUCAUCAGCUGGUGCAGGAGCGGGGGGGAGGAAUCCAGCCAAUCAGAAGCCACCUUCUUCACAAUAUAACCUAACGCCACUCACCUCUCAGUGCCGGAUCAUGAUAGAAGCUACAUCUGGUCCGCCCACUCCUGCUGUGUUCCACCUGUAUCUCAGCUCCAGUCCUCCAUGUAGAAGUUCUGCCAGCGGUUCCGUUUACCUACCUGGACCUGCUCACCUCUGCAUCCCAAAUCCGCUCGCUAUCCGCCAUUACCGACCUGCCGCUGCAGACUUCCCGCCCAACACCGUGGGGUUCCGAGCCUGCUUCGGCCAAAGUCUCCAGCCUGCUCCCUCCCAGGAGAACCUGCCCCCUCACCGCUCACAGCUAAGCCCCAGUCCGAGCAUCUAUUGUUCCUUAGUUUCUGUUCCUCAACACGGCUAGUUCUUAGUGGUCGUCAAAAUCUGCUCAAGUCUGAACCUUUCCUAGCUGCUAAUGUUUUUUUAGAAUCGAGUUUCUAGUAUUUUGGUUGUCUUUCUUGCCUAGGUGGUACCUAUCGUGAGUUAGUGUGUUAAUUAUACCUCCACGCCUAUAGGAGUCCCCUUGAGUUUCAGUCACCUCUUAGUUGUGGUUGUAGUCUUCCGGUCAAAUUUUGUAGUUUGUUUUUGAGUUCCUAUUUGAAAUAAAACCCUUGUGUGCAUUCAGCCUGUCUUGUUUCCUACACAUACAAAGUACAAGCUAACGUUGAAAUUGAUUCAUAGUUUACUGUUAUGCUGUACGGCUCUGGCAUUAAAUGUAUCUAGAUUAGAUUACGUAGAUUAGCAUAUCAAGUAUGGUGAGAGUGAUGCAGAGUUGACUGGUGGAAAUGGGCAGCUGGAAGCAGUGGGCUGGAGGAAGGUCAGCAGCAGCAUCCUCCCACAGUGGACAUGAUGGAGACGAGACCAGUUGGUGGGACAGCAGCCGCAGAUCUGAAGCAUCUGGCUCUGGGAAGGGCACUCGGAGAAAGGACACAGGGAGAAACAGAUCCUCAUCACUGAUAAUGUCAAGCAUUCUGCUUAUUCGACGCCUCCGCCGCACUCGUCAACCCUCAACACCAGCUCUAGGGUGUUCAAAGGUGCUUCUUAGCAUCAUGCCCAUUGUUCAGAUUGCGAUUGGGGCAGUAUACCUACGCGACUGUCCACAGCAGCACUUCAUCCCCAUCUAUCUGAUAGUGUUGGGAGUCUUUAGCCUGGUCCUAGCGCUGCUCUCCUGCCUGCCCUGUGCCGAGGAUCCCACCGAUGGCACCUCCAACCCACUGAGUCAUGUCUCCAAAGCCUGGAAUGGGCUGGUGUCUUUAUUCCUCUUGUGCUGGUUUAUCGCUGGUAGUGUAUGGAUCUACUCUAUUUAUCAGCCUAACUACGACAUCAUAGAAGGGGUUCCUUACUGCAACAGGAGGCUCUACCUGUUCGCUUUCUGGACAACCACCGUGACCUACAUCGUUCUAGCUGUAUUCUUGGUAGUCGGCAUCUUCGCCUUAAUGUGCGGCCGGUCCAACUCUGACGACGAUGACGUUGUUGUACCACCAGGGCCCUAAUCACACAGUUACGCAUGAGCGGCAUUUUUCCUCUGCACUGUAACAUUUGGUAACAAGCUCUUAAAAGAAAUGGAAAAACCAUAGUUGUAGUAUCUUCACUCCUCUAAGAUAUACACAAAAUAGUAAGAUGGUGUAUUAUGUACAAUUAAUCUGAAGAUUUACAGUGAAAUAAAUGUUCUAUUUUGUCAUUUAAAGAAGUAAAUGAAAUUAAAAGCGAAAGAAUCGAGUAGAAAUCUGUUAUUUGGGAAUUGUGUCGCAACAGGAAGUCUCUUCCUGUUUAAGCUUAGGACGGUGCCAAAAACAACAUAUGUUUCAUCUUGCAUAGAAAGCUAGUCACAUCCUGAGAUAAAUAAGAAGCACAGUCUUUACAACACCUAUUCUCUUGCAGAUCUCACCCACUAACAUGCAAAUCAGGGCUGCAUGGCAUGAUGAAAAUCUGAUAUGUGGUAACAUUGUUCAAAAUCGCCAUGAAAAUACAUCUUGCAAUUAGAGUAUUGAAUAGGGAGAAAAAAAUACAAAAAGAAAAAAUCUUCAAAUGUAUUUAUUUAAUUGGCUACAGACAACAAAAACCAAAACACCUUCCUCAGGAUGUGGAAACCCAAAAGAAAACCAUAAUCACAGAUUUAAUCAUGCCAGGUGUUCAACACUGAGUGCCUGCACCUUUUUCUCUGUCUGGCAUCCAGAGUCAUCACACAGCAAAUGUAACACAAUAAAUUCUAAAGUACGGUCCUCUCACUGGCAUUUUGAAAGACUUUAACAUAAGACAAAGAUAACCCAAGAAAACACAAAAGGAAAUUUAUAAAUGAUAGUUUCAUUUAUUGAAGGAGAAGUGCUGUCCAGCCCAUCUUGCCUUAUGGGAAAAAGUAAUUGCCCCCUUAGCUACCAAUCCACCAAAUGACCAAAUUCAUUUGACAAAUGGGUUCAGUCUCACCAGCAACACCCAUAUAUGAUUACUGCCAGACUUGCUGGAGCUAAACAUCGCUGAAUAGAACCUGUCUGUCAAUGUGAAGUAACUAAAAGGUCUCAAAAAGCAGCACAUGAUGCCACAUUCUAAAGAGAUUCAGGAACAGAUGAGAAACAAAGUCAUUGACAUUCAUCAGUCUGGAGGGUUACAAAGUCAUUGCUAAGGCUCUGGGACUGCAGAGAACCACAGUGAGAGACAUUAUCCACAAAUAGAGAAACAUGGAACAGUGGUGAACUGGUGCAUGUUGAAUCUACUGAGUCAAAACAGUGAGCCUUAAUCUUGAAUUUCAUUUAAGGAAAGGGAAUAAUGUCACAGCGAGCUAAAUCUAAGAAUACACACAGUAGAACUUUAAGGCAACAUUAAAGUCAGUUAAAGAAGCAACACACUGUAAUAACAUGUAUGAGCCACUAGAUGUCCACCUGGGCCUUUUUUAAACUGAUAGGUGCACACAAAGCACUUAGGUGUUCAUGUAAAAUGAAAUAUAAGAAUGAUUUCGACUCAGCGAUGUAAAACCCAGGAAACACAUGCACAGCCUUUUAGCUGUCCUCUGAACUUAUCAGGUCAUUUCCAGUCCGUUGAUGUUCAUAUGUAUUUCGCGUUUAUAUUUUGGGCAAACUAUCCGUUGCAUUUCUGCCUCUCAGUAAAUACAUGAUACUGGAGAGCCCUGGUGACCAACGUGACCUUAAAUUCAGAUAUUAUUCAGAAAUGAUUUAGCUACAAGAAGUCAAACAUUAGACGUGUGUGCAAAAGAUGACAACAAAUGCCUUAAAGCAUUCGAGUCAAUCACACAAUGCGAGUGAAACAUGUCUGAUGAUUUCUCUUGUUUCUUCUCCAGGUAAUGUGUGGGUCUACUCUUUUAACAAGCCCAACUACAGCAAGAGCACCACAAAUGUGGUCCCUCCUGCUAGUUGUUUGCGUUCUGGACAACCACAGUGACCUACAUCCUACUAGCUUUGUCGCUGUUCGGCAGCUGCAUGUUCUUCCUAUGUGGUCACGCCGACCCUGACGUCUAGCAACCUUGCUGCAUCAAGGCUGAACACACAACAGCUGCUGUUGAACAAGUGAUAUGUUUCCAGUAAACUUGAACAUUUGAAAUCAUGAUCGUAAAGAAUGUGGGACAACAGCAGUCGCGUGGCCUUCUGUAGAUAGAUGCUUAAGGGUGGGGUGAUAUGAACAGGAUCACUAAGUGUUUUCUCAUCAGUGAACAUUCACCACAUCUGCAGAAGUUGUGUGCAUUCUGUUUGUAUGACCUCUGAGAGACCCAGACUGUUUUGAUUGCCUUUUGAGUCUUCUAUGUGAAGCAUUUAAGCAGGCAGAUGUUAGCUUGUGGUCUUAUAAACAGCCACAACAUAUGCUUCACCUCACAUGGAAACCUUUGGUCAUGCUCUGAUAGAGAGAAGUAGACUCUUCCAGGAAGAAGUGUGGUUAUGUACACUUACACAAGAUGAAUUAAUCAGCCAUAACAUUAGGACCACUGACAAGUGAAGUGAAUAACACUGAUCAUCUUGUUAGAGUGCAACGUUCUACUGGGAAACCUCUAGACCUAUUGAGUGGUGAUAAAUGACGCUAUAAGAGUGCACUAACUUGUAAUGACGCGGACAUGUUUAACAGUCUUUAGUAGGAUUUAAGGGUAGGGUUAGGGUUAGGUUAGUGAGAUAACUUCUGGAUUAACUGUCUUUUCAGGCAUACACAGUCCUUCAACUUUUUACCAUGUAUAUCGCCAUGGUAACUUAUGCUGAAUACCUAACCAGAAUAAAAGAAUACAGCUAAAAGUCUUACACAGCAUAAGAAUAUUACCUCGAAUGAGAGAUUAUUGAAUCCAUCCUCCACUUCAUCAUGGAAAUAGUUUCAUUUUCAUGACUUUCUUAUUUAUUCUGCACAUGAUCUGUCUUUUUAUGUAAGUAGCAUAAUAGGCCUGUACACGUCAUUACUACAAAACAGAGAAAAGGAAGGUAAAAGCCACUGACCUCAGAAGUUGAGAGACUCAUAUAUGGAAACUUUUUUUAAGUUGCACACGAGCAGUGAACUUUCGCUAACCUGCAGAUGCUCACAAGCGCUUUUAUUUUUCUUUCAAGCCUUCACGAAGGAGGUACGCUGAAGAGGCGCUCUGAGAAGUAUAACACAACCUUUACAAUCUGCCACACAGAUGCUGUUUGGACAGUAUUUUUGAACUAAAACGGAAUAUUAGUCAGCCAAUGUUCUGUUUUCAGCUUGGUUGCUUAUUAGCUUUGCAGUUUCUGUUCUUGAUGAUACUGUUCUUUCUGCUCAAACAUGAAAUUGAACUUCAUUUAAAGGGAAGUAGGCUCCAGCGUGUGUUGUCGAACCUCUUCCACCACAAUACACCGAAAAAAAGAGCACCUGUUACGAAAGAUAAUUUGCCUGAUAGACUUCUCCUUAUUGUACGUGACAUUAAGAGCAGAGAGCUCAUGCAUCUGUCUCUGCUCUUUUUUUGAGGUUAGGUUCAUCAUUAGAGGCUAUGUCAGAGACUGAGAGACCUCAGCACAUCUGCAGACUUCCUACGCCUCUAACAGCAGCGCUCGUCUGUUUUCAGGUGAUUUUGUGCUCCGUGUCCAUUGCUCAGCUAGUAAUAGGAGCCUUGUGCCAAUAUGGCUGCCCUCAGCAGUCCUAUAUCUCUGUCUAUCUGCUGGUAAUGGGAGCCCUCUCUCUGCUGCUGGCUUUCCUCACCAUCAUGCCCUGCACCGGUGGCUUCGGUAAUCACAGCACAACCUGGAUUUGUCUUGUCUCAUUCCUCUUCUUCUGCUUUUUCACCGCCGGUAUCACGUGGAUCUACUCCAUCGAUGUACCUAACUUCAGUAAAACAAUGAGCAGUAUGGAUACCUUCUGCAUCAAGACGCUGUAUCAGUUUGCCUUGUGGACUAUCAACCUCAACUACGUAGUGUUACUCUACAUCCUUUUCUUUAGCUGUUGUACAUGCCUACUGUUUGGUGAGGAUGACAGCACAACCCAAGAAAACGUAAGGGUGGUGGAGGAUUAAGUGUCAGUAAACAUGGCAAUAAUUUUCAGUGUUUCUAUAAAUCUUUUAAUGUAUAUUUUAUCUAAACUGUGGAGGAUAUUUGGAUAGCCCUGGUAUCACAGGCUUUAUUUUUUUAUACCUGAAAUAGAAUUUGCAUUAAAAUACGAAAUGCAAUACA